GAUUUACUGUUUUUAAAAAACAGAAUGGUUACAUCAGAUAAUAAAAUCAAGACUACAAGUAUUCACUUUUUUUCAUCUGCAUGAUACAAGAGGCAGGACAGUGUUCCCCAGAGAGUUCAGUUAGUAACAUUUUAUGCAGGAGCACUGAUUGGCUCUACUCGGGUCAUUUGACAAUAUCUGGAUAUGUCUUUGAGGCCAAACAGGGGAGCGAUAUGAUUGGUUCAGUUUCUCUCUUAUAUAGCAAACCUCUCUGAGCAUAAAGGAAUUGAUGAUGUUUACUAGAAUCAUAUGGAGAUGAGCAGAAACUUCCUCUAAAGAAUGAAAAGGCUGAUACCCCCCAAAGGAGGAGGUCAAGAUGCUGGUCUGAGAGGAAGAAUAAGAAAUAUGUGAGCCACCCUAUAUAAGCUCCAAGUGUCAUAAUUUCAGAGGCUCUCUACUGUGGUGCAAUCCCUGCACAUUCAGGUGACAUCUGGCCAACAUUUUCAGGCACACUCUUCCUGCGUUUAACCUCACUGAAGCCAGACUAAUCCACAGAUGUACUUAAAUGCCUAUGACUCAUAUGAAGGUUAUCGUUUUAGAAGAGACCUUGAAAACAUACUCUGGAUUUAGAGUAAAAAAAAUAAAAUAAACUGACAUUUCCAAGAGGAAAGACUUCUUUUAAUUUUAUAUUGCACAUGCAGAGCUAAAAGCAUAUAAACAUGUACAGUAAAUAGCAUAAUAUUAAUCACAUAAUGAAAAUUACAUCUAAAUGAGAAACAUGUUGUAAACUACAGUCACAAAAAAACAUACAAAAUUAAUGUGGACACCUGCCGGCUUUCCUUAUAUCAAGAGAAAAUAAAACUCAUUGUAAUUUAAUGAAUUAUUUUCUGUUAUAGUGCACUAAUUAUCUCUUCCUUUCACCCUCAGGAAGCAUCUUUUUAAAUUUCCAGUUGGAUCU
rnacentral:lncRNA from 10 species